CGAGUGAAGCGGCAAUAGCUCAAAUUUGAAAUCUGGCUCUUUCAGGGUCCGAGUUGUAAUUUGUAGAGGAUGUUUCGGACAAGGCUUCGGUUUAAAUUCCUUGGAACAGGAUGUCAUAGAGGGUGAGAGUCCCGUCUUGAACCGUCUGCUGCGUCUAUGUGAAACUCCUUCGACGAGUCGAGUUGUUUGGGAAUGCAGCUCAAAAUGGGAGGUAAAUUUCUUCUAAAGCUAAAUAUUGGCCAGAGACCGAUAGCGCACAAGUAGAGUGAUCGAAAGAUGAAAAGCACUUUGAAAAGAGAGUUAAACAGUAUGUGAAAUUGUUGAAAGGGAAGCGGUUGCAACCAGACUUGUGUGUAACAGUUCAACCUUGGUUUUCCAAGGCCUAUUCUGUUAUACCAGGCCAGCAUCGGUUCGGGUGGUUAGUUAAAGGCAUCGGGAAUGUAUCUACCCCUCGGGGUCGACUUAUAGCCCUUUGUGUAAUGUGACCUACCUGGACCGAGGCACGCGCAUUUGCUC
rnacentral:rRNA from 1 species